rnacentral:misc_RNA from 1 species
CCGAGUUUACACUCCCAAACCCCUGUGAACAUACCUAUACGUUGCCUCGGCGGAUCAGCCCGCGCCCCGUAAAAAGGGACGGCCCGCCGAGGACCCCUAAACUCUGUUUUUAGUGGAACUUCUGAGUAAAACAAACAAAUAAAUC